UACGGGGGGGGCAAGCGUUGUUCGGAAUUACUGGGCGUAAAGGGCUCGUAGGCGGCCAUCUAAGUCCGACGUGAAAUCCCCAGGCUUAACCUGGGAACUGCGUCGGAUACUGGAUGGCUUGAAUUCGGGAGAGGGAUGCAGAAUUCCAGGUGUAGCGGUGAAAUGCGUAGAUAUCUGGAGGAAUACCGGUGGCGAAGGCGGCAUCCUGGACCGACAUUGACGCUGAUGAGCGAAAGCUAGGGGAGCAAACGGG
rnacentral:rRNA from 1 species